UCACCACCUGUUACUCCAUCUGUUUUCAUGACUGUGGUUAGGAUUUAUAAACAUCCCCUACAUUAUAUCUUAUUUCCAGUCUGCUAACUGAAUUUUAAUUUUCACUGAGUGUAAUUUAAAUAGUCCACAUGUGGUUGGUGGCUACAGUUUUGAACAACACCGUGCUAGAUAAUGAGAAGCUAUUGUGGAGUGAGGGCAAAUGUGAUG
rnacentral:lncRNA from 1 species